GCGUCGUAUGGAGGAUAAUUUUCGUUGGUGUUCGUUAUUUUUCGUGCGUAAUAGAAAUAAAACGCAAACGGUGGUUGGUGUUUAAUCGUUGGACGCUUGAUAAACUAUUGCGUACGAAAUCGUAAAUAAAUAGUGAGGCUUGUUUGUAAUCGAUAAAUGUAAAUAUCUUUGGCGAUAGCGGUCGUGAAAUAAGCAGGGAAAUGUACUGUUUUGCGUAUGGGUUUUAAACCGCACGGAUAGUAUGUAUCGGUUGGCCGAUUAAUCGUGUAUUUAGUGGGAAACGUGAGUGGCAUGUCGCAAGACGCGAGUUUGGUUUUCGUGCAUCGUGAAAGGUUGACAAGCUAUGUGCUUUGACGUGCACGAGUGAAAUUUAGUUUCGUUCAGAGACUCCUCGCGAAGGUGUGGAGACGACGUGAGUUUAGCCACCAUGGCGGUGAAUCCGCGUGAUAUGGACGGUUUUAUGCCGCUCCUGUCAACGAUGGACAUCAAGAAGAAAUUAAAUGUUGGCAAUUUACUGUUAAAUUAUUUGGGCGACUCCACCAAGAGUAUCGAGUGUCAAGACAUUGGACAGUUUAUUGAUAACAUCAUACCAUGGCUGAGCAACGGGAAUCCCAAGGUUGUCCAGAAUGGUUUGGAAGUUCUUACGUUCCUUGCGGAUCGAAUGGGUCACGACUUCAAGCCUUAUAUUUCCACUGUUAUUCAACCAGCAAUAGAUAGAUUAGGUGACAGUAAAGAUGCGACACGAGGCAAAGCGCAAUUACUAUUGCUGAAAAUAAUGGAGAAAGGAUGCAUGUCUCCCCAGCAACUUCUCGACAGACUGCGACCAGCCUUCAAUCAUAAGAAUGCCAAAUUGCGAGAAGAGGCAUUGAUUCUUUUAACGACCACGUUGAACGAACAUGGAGCCGACGAGAUGAUGUUGUCUGGAGUAAUUCCAAGCAUCGUGAAGCUGUUAUCGGAUCCAUCCGAAAAAGUACGAGAAACGGCAUUAAACACCUUGGCGGACAUCUACAGACACGUUGGAGAAAGAUUACGCGUCGAUUUGCAGAGAAAGCACAACGUACCGCACGCAAAGUUGCUAUUACUGAUAGAGAAAUUCGACCAAUUAAAAGCAGCUGGUGAUCUGUUGCCCCUGGCAAUGUCCUCGGACGUUGGAAAAGGUACAGAUGAACCGGACAGAGCGAUCAAGUCCGCACCUGUCAGAAGAUCGUCUGCUCCUGCGAAAAGAGGACAAUUUGGUCCUGCAAAAACUUCAUCUUCUGCUUUAGCUCAGCCUGGCAAUACACCUUCUUCCACGAUUUCAAGGGCAGCAACCGUCAAAAGAAACGUGUCAGUAAAAUCGACGUCAGGUCAAGCUGGUGCCGUCGACGAGGAAACUUUUUAUACAGCGUUCGAAGAUGUACCAGCGGUAAAUUUGUUUUCGGCAAAAGAUUUGGAAGAACAAAUGAAGGCUAUCAAAGAUAAUGUUGGCGACGACAAGAAGGAUUGGAAGCAAAGAACAGAAAACAUGAAAAAAUUAAGGGCUAUCGUUAAAGCAGGUGGCACAAACUAUGAGAACUUUUAUGAACAUUUGAAGAGCAUGCAGAGAGCGUUCGAGGUUGCUUGCGCCGAUCUGAGAUCGCAAGUUGUUAGAGAAGCGUCCAUCACCUUAGCGUUUCUUAGUCAAGAGUUAAAAAACAAAUUUGCUAGUUUCGGUGAAGCUGUUUUACUCACAUUGAUGAACCUCAUACAAAAUAGUGCCAAGGUGGUGGCAACAGCUGGUGCUGUAGCCGUGAGGUUUAUACUUCAAAAUACACACUGCAGUCGGUUUGUGCCAAUUAUCACAUCGUGUUUAAGUAACAAAAGUAAAGAUAUACGGCGAGCCUCGUGCGAGUAUCUGAAUUUAAUUUUACAAACGUGGCCUACUCAGAUAUUGCAAAAGCACGUAACGAUAUUACAGGACACAAUUAAAAAGGGUAUCGCGGAUUCGGAUUCAGAGGCAAGAGCCUUUGCUAGAAAGUCGUAUUGGGCGUUCAAAGAUCAUUUUCCAGAACAAGCAGAAGCAUUACUCAACAGCCUUGAUACUGCGUAUAAACGCUCGUUGAUGUCUCUUAGCAAUAGCGGUAGUAUUAGCAGUUUAAAUGUAGUCACAAGAUCGGCGAGCGUUAGUCCCAGAACAUCCAGACCAGUAAUGAGUCCCACAGAUCGUGGAAGCCCAGGUGUCAGAUCUACUAGUGCGAUAGAUUUGCAAGCCGCGCAAAGAGCUAAAGCUAGAAUGAUGUACGCGAAUAUGAGCAGACAGAAGGCGUCUCUUCCACGUCCAAGUAAAUCACCAGAUACCACAGCUGUUGCUAGUCCAGAAAGAACCGCAAGAACGAGAACCAGAGUGGCCGGAGUGUCGCAAUCCCAGCCUAGCAGUAGAUCAGGUUCACCGUCGUCAAGGUUGAGUUAUGCAACGUACAAUCGCGAAGGAGAAUCGUUAAUCGCAAGACCUAGACGUUUAUCUGGACACGGGAUCAGAAGUACCGGUAACAGCCGUGAACCUAGCCCACAGAGAUUUGGAAUGGACAGAAGUUUUGCAACCAAGAUACGCGGCAGAGGUUUGCACAUGUCGCCAACGGAGAGGCCACAGUCUAGACCAGUUAUGGCGCAAAAGAUGUUACAACAAUCACGCGAAGCAGAAUCAGCUUUAGCGGAUGCGCUUACAUUCGAUAGUAUCGAUAACUAUACAAGAACACCAAGAGGCAAAGGUGAUCACAGCGAUGACAGCGAAACCAGUAGUAUAUGUUCAGAGCGAAGCAUGGACAGCUUUAGACGACCAAACGAUUCGUUCUCAUGGAGUGGAUCUCAACAAAGAUUGUACCGUGAUAUAUGGGAUCAAUCUAUCCCAAAGGAUAUUAAGGAAAUAAUAGAAAACUGUGCGCAUAAGCAUUGGGGAGAUAGAAAAGAGGGUUUAGUGGGAUUGCAACAUUUUCUUUCAAACGGAAAUACGCUUACAGCUACGGAAUUGCGUAAAGUGACGGAUAUUUUUACAAAAAUGUUUAUGGAUUCCCAUACGAAGGUGUUUAGUUUAUUUUUGGACACGUUGAACGAAUUGGUUGCUACUCAUAGCGAAGAUCUUGGCGAUUGGCUUUACGUGCUGUGCGCAAGACUCUUGAACAAAUUAGGUACCGAUUUACUCGGAUCGAUUCAAGCAAAAAUUCACAAGACGCUUGAUGUUGUCAGAGAAUGUUUUUCUGGAGAGCAACUUUUACCUGCUGUUAUGAGGUUUCUGACGGAUCCUACGCAAACACCAAAUUCUCGUGUUAAAAUAGCCACGCUUACGUUUAUCACGCAGAUCGCAGAAACGGCAGAACCAUCCGCGCUGAAUAAUUCAGCAAGUACAGCGCUGGCAAGGUUACUUGAUUGGUCUAACGACGUUAAAAGUCAAGAUGUCAGAAGACAUGCACAAAAUGCUGUCAUAUCAUUGUAUAAUUUAAAUCCUCCGAAAGUGACAAUGAUACUAGCUGAAUUACCAAAGUUUUAUCAAGAGGCGGCUUUGCCAUUGGUACAAAAUCAUUUAAGAAAGUCGUCUGGCUCCAGUAAUCCAGCAUCGCCUGGUACACCGCCUCCCCGAGCACAGAGUUCGCCUGCUCGUACGAAAAGUAAAGGUGAUGUUGAUAAUGCGGACGAGAAUUUGGAAGAAGUAUACAAUACUUCCUACAACAGAUCGCUAAGACGUACAACGGCAGAAAUUCAGAAUUAUGGUUUUGAACGUUUAGAAAGAGCGACCACUAGUAAAGAUAGCGGUAUUAGUAAUAUGGCCGAUGUAGAAGAGAAAAUGGAAGGUUUAACGUUGUGUAAUUCGGGUCGAUCAUCUUCGGUAUCUUCACCCACUCAAAGAGGACGAUCUGUUACAAAUAUUACAGUAAAUGGUUCGAGCGAUACGAUUGCAGGUGAUCUUAUACUCCCUCAAGAAAAUAAUGGUUACAAAACGCAUGUAUCGGUUACAGGAUCGUCACCUGACUCGAUAAAGAGACCAGAAAUUUUAGAUAAUAUGAUUAAAACAUUACAGUCAAAGAUGACACAAACCGAAGAAAAAGUAUCAGCUCUGCAAGAGUUUCAAUUAUACGUUCGAGAAGGAGAUGGCUUGUAUAUCAAACAGAAUUUUAAAAAACUGCUGAAAACAUUGUUAGAUAGUUUAACGAACGAUAGCAAGAAAAUGCAAGUAGAGGUACUUCAAACGUUGAUCGAUAUGUUAAAGUGCCCGGAACUUGUAGACAGUUUUUCCGUUUAUCCUGAGCUACUCGUUUUAAAAGUAAUUAACGCGUACAAAUUGGACGAUCAAAAGCAGGAUUCUUCUUCCGGUAACUCGAGUAGUAACUCGAGAUCUCCAGUGCUUUGGAUGGCAGAAAAAUGUGCUGCAACGAUAGCGAUGAUUCUAAAGCCAGAACAAGUAAUUCAUUUGGUAUCGACUAUAAUAACCACCGAACCAUAUCCCUUGAACAUGGGAGCGAUAAAAAUGCUUCACAAAGUUGUAGAACAUUGGGGUCGCGAUGCUAUAGAACCUCAUUUGUCAAAAGUGAUGCCCGGACUCAUUAAGGCUUACGACGAUAAUGAAAGUGCAGUACGCAAAAGUGCCGUGUUCUGCAUGGUAGCGAUACAUCUGGCAGUCGGCGAAGAGGUGUUGAAACCUCAUCUCAGCUGUUUAUAUACCAGCAAAUUGAAGCUUUUAAAUAUUUACAUACAACGCGCGCAACAGGCAAACAGUCAGCCAGCGAGUCCACGUAGCAAUAACAAAAAUUAACUAACAUCAAAUUCCGCGACACUUCGGAUCGCGAUACUUAAGAGAUUUGCUCGUCUGGGUGCAAGGCAUGAGCGAAUGCUGGUUAGCUUCCUCAGUAAGUCCAAUCCGUGACGACUAUUGAGCAGUAAAUUAUACAUACAAAUUAAACGUUUCAAUACGAGAUAGACUGAUCUGUAACUGUGCGUUUAUGAGAAGAAGAAGAAGAAGAAGAAGAAGAAGAAGAAGAAGAAGAAGAAUGAACUUGACUCGCUCCUACCGACUCGUUCGAUUUCUGGUAGAUGUGAUUAAAUUCUGCAAUUGUGUUAAUGACGGCUGAGCCUUCUUCUCAUAAACGCAACGUACGAUUUCACUACAAGUUGUGCGCGUGUGUGUUUGUGUGUAUGUGUACGUGCGAGAGAGAAAGAGAGACAUGAAUUUGUGACAGUGAUGUUGCACAGAAGCAGGUAGUAUGUAAAAUUACUUAUACCUACGAACAUUGUGUUUUGUUUGACAAAAAUUUAUGCCUGUUGCAGAAUAAGAGUUUCGCACGAUUUUUUAGCGCUUAUUAAUAGAAUUGCUUUAGACAUAAGACUUUCUUUAUUCGGAAUACGUAUAUUUUUUUUAUCGAUACGUUACAGCAUGAUAUUGAGAUGCAAGAUUGUAUUUUGUGGGGGGGAGGAAGGAAAAAGGAAAAACUUGUUUCUUCCGUGUAUCAUAAAGCUCAUGAAAACACCAGUAUCGUGCUUCUCUUGUCCAGUUUGUGAUUUUAUAUAUUUUGAAUUUUCUUUGCUACUCGUUAAGAUAUAUAUUGUACAUAUUUAGGUAUUUCACUGUAUUGUUACGAGUCUCUUAAAGCCGAUCAUAGAUACUUCUCUAGAGGAAUGUGAUUCCCGAUGAACGAAUAAUUUAUUCAAUUUGAGUGAAAGUUUGAGAAGACGAUGCGGCAUCACUGUCCAGAGAAUCAUACUUUAUAAGCAUAAUAAUUAAUUCAUGCCGAUCCUAUAUCGGUAUCAAACAGAGAUACAUUGGCGGUAGGUUGGUGUUGUGUACCUUACAGUGAACGCGUAAAGAAGAAAGGAAGUUGAAACAUAAAAAGUAUUCGAUGCGAGAACGAGCGGUAUGUCUGGUAUAUCUGCUCUGUAGAACGGUCAGUAAGAACGGUAAUAAAUUUCACUAAGAAAUAUUUAUCUUUUCGCAUUUCAGCAUUAACCGAGUGACUGGCGCGAGUAUCGCGUAUUUGUUUGCAGUAUGUUGUUACACCGUAAACGUGGUUUCACACGAGGACUUUGAAAUAUCGAAAAUAAAACUGUUAAUUUAUUUGUUCAAAAAUCCAUGUGCUAGUCAGAUUUCCAAGGACGCACAAUACAGAAUUGGAAGAUGCAGACGAAAUAGUCGGCACUUUUCAACGAACACCGAAGUUAAUUAACUGAACAAAAGUGAGAAAAAGAAAGGGAGAGAGAGAGAGUAUCUGCGAGAGGAUGCGAGAGAGUGAAUGACGAGAGAUUAAAUACGACAAAAAUAAACAGAAGGUAGAGACUAGAGAUGAGAUUUACUUGGAACUAAUGUUAAUAUUUAAACUAUUCGUCAGGUUGCCAAUAAUUAAACGAAUGCUAAAUCAAAGCUAAGGUAACAAGUUUAGUAAACAUAUUCUGUGCCAUUGUCGUUUUUCUUUUACUUAUAAUAGGGAUACAAUUAUAUAUAAAUACAUAGAUAUCAUCCUUCGUCUUUUCUUACUGGUAGAUUGAGAUAGGAAAAUAAUUUCAAGAGAUGAGAUUGAAAAUGAAUCGUCAAAGUGAUAUGAAAAGUUUACAUCACAGUACCAAUUUCUGAAGAUGGACAUUUUAAAUUCCUUGAAAUUGAACACGCAAACAUCAUCUUACCUGACUGGAUACAAUUAUUAACAAACGUUGGUAACGCGUUAUAAUUAGAGUGGCAAAACAGUGCCAAAAUAAUAUUGGACGACUUACGAGGAGAAAAAGCAAUUGGAUGUGGAAGUUGAAGCGUCGAGCUGUUUCUUUUACUUGGUGCCUUUGGCGUCGUCAGGACGAGAUUUGCGCUGAAAUCGUCUUUCAUCGUCUUGUAAAAAAGGAAAAAAAGGGAAAAAAGGAAAAAAAAGGGGGAAAGCUAUUAUUGAAGCGAUCCGUAGUCUGCAAGUAGCUAGAGAAGCUCUAUUCGCGCCGAUGUUGCGUAAAGAAAACAUUAAAUGGAUUCUACAGAACGUUUUUUUUUUUUUUUUUCAUUUGUUGAUAGGUAUUUUCUACCUACGAUUAGGUAUCGUCUACCUUGUUCGUGUUCAUUUUGCUACUUUGUCGUAGAGCACGAGAGAACAAGCGUGUUUCUUCGUGGAACGAUACGUGUUAUGGUGUGUAUCGUCGACAUCGAUUUUUAGAAACGUGUACGUACCAUCUAUUUUUCCAUAAUACGAUUAACCACAAGACGAAUCGUUUUCACCAAUUGCUGUUUCAUUACAGGCAGGAAUGAAUUUGUUUCGUCGAUAUUUUACAAUAUUUCUUUAAUGGAUUUGUCGCGAGAAAGAAAGAGAGAAAGGUAAACGCAUAGAGGUAUGCGAUAUAGGUAUUACCAGUUUGUGUCCGGUAUAUGAUAUUUCAAUAUUUUAUGUUUAUCGGUAUGAUACUAUUCGUAAUCCAUUCGUCGUUGUCUCUUAUUUAUAAAAACAGCGUAGAGUUUGACCUGGUGUGUGCGGAUCGUGUAUAUAUAUACACAUACAUACAUAAUAUUAUCGAAUAAUGUAGAACCUAAUGUAAUAUUAAUUACGGAUUAGGUAGCUCACCGUCACUGCCUGCAGCGUUUUGGUCGUGCUGAGAAAAUAAGAAAGAAAGAAAGAAAGAAAGAAAGAAAGAAAGAAAGAAAGAAAGAAAGAAUAUGCAGACCCUUGGCACUGCUGGGACCCUGCGUGGUGUUGCGACUGUCUCUAAUUGUAAGAAGAAUGGAAAUGCUUGUUUUGUUAAGUUUUUGAGCAUUAUCAUCGAUUAACAGGAUUUAUAUUAUUAUACUUACUCUAACGCGUGUACGAUAAUAAAACAACGUAGGUAAUGAAAUAUAUUGCAAUCUAUUAUCGAGACACUUGCCACUUUUGCAUUGCGACGCGAUACUCCUCAGGCUACGUGAUUUUAAUCUUGUACGUAAAAUUGUUUCUUUAUCGUUUGUUUGUAAUUCGUAAAGGACUAUACUGAGAAUUUCUACAUCAGUGUCCGUGCCACAUUGUGUAUUAACUUAAUAAUGUGUUAACGCUUUUUAGAGCUACUGAAAGUCUGUCAACACUUUGAUAUAUUUAGAUCUACUAGGAACGUUACAUUAAAUAUUAAUUCUGUUUGUAAUUUAUUUAGUCUGGUAUUUUGAUAAUACUUGACUGUUUUUACUAGCUGUUUAGUAAAAUUGUCUAUAAUUGGCCAGAGUGGUAACGGUCAAAGUGUUGAUGAGGUUUUUUAUAUCAGUAUUUAUUAAAUGAAAAGCUUAUUAAUCGACUUUUUCUUGUUAACGCUUUGUUCUUUCCUAUACUUUGGUACUUUAAAUUGAAAAAAGUAAUCUUGAUUUUAUUUCAAUGUAGCCUCUAUAAUUUUCAACGAACCUUUCCCAUAUUCUAGUAUUAAAGUUUCAAAGCACUUGAAAACUUCUGCCAGUAGCUGUGGUUGGUCGUCCCACUAUAGCGUCCUCUCAUUUCGACCAAUCACAUUGAUCGUUGUAACGCGCGGUGCGCGGAGCGUGGUGCUGUGCAUCAGUCCUCUUCGAAGCUUCGUUCGUUUUGCACGUGUCUGCAACAGAUAUUUCCUUGAUCCUGAAAAGAUGCAUGUUUGAAACACAAGGUUUUAGGUAAAAAAAUCAUUUAGUAUAGUUUCUGGUUUCCAAAAAUACAAUUUUAUUAGAAACAUUUUAUGAAAUUUGACAGUAGUACGUGUACGCGUACAGGCGUAGGCGUAUAUUUCUGUAUACAUACAAAUGUAUGUUUACGGAAUACAAGCAAGUUGUAUAGCACGAUACAAAGUAUAUAUGUAUGUUUUAUAUAAACUCUACUCUGCUCGCAUAUUCACGCACACUCAUUUUUGUAAAAUAUCAUCAAGCAGUCGACAAAAACGAAAGGCACUUGCCGAACCAAUAAUCUCGAUGCAUAUACAUUAUAACGUACAAUAUCUUUCCAACGAUCUCGAACGAAACGAAAUGUAGUGCAUAAUAUACGUACAUACAUAUAUAUUCUCUCUUACUAAUUGUACAUAAGUAAUUAAUUUUAAUCUUAAGCUCAUUCCCUUUCGAUUCCUAUAAUAACGAUCAUCGAGAGAUUGGUUAUGUUUCUAUAAGUUAACGUUUUCAACGCAACGAUUUUACGGACAAGCUGACUUUCGAUAAAAAUCAAUCGAAAAUCAUUCUAUUUUGAUUUCUAUCGAAUAUCGGCCAAAAACUUAACGAUACAGAUGGACAUUUAAUCUGGUCAGUUAUCACAUCUUAUUAGUUAGAAGUAUUUUUGAUUAGUCAGCGGCAAAAGAUCCGCGACCUGGUGGCGGUUAAUGAACUGUUUAUAAAAGUGAGAUAUGAGAAGACGAAUCGCGGUAUAAAGAGAUAUUGCAAACUAAAAGAAAGGUAUAGCUAUAAUUGAUUCUUUUUGAACGCGAUAAAAUGAUUGUGUAUAAAAGAUGGUGAUUGGAACGUUUUAAGUAGCGAGUCCGUAAGUUAAACGAAUCGAUAGAUACAUGGCGUUCGAGUAGCAUCGGGGUAGCGCCUGCGCUUUAAUAUCGUCUAGUAUAUUCGUUUGAAUCGUAUGCUCAGCAAAGAAAACAGAAUGAAUAAUUAACAAAGAAAAUAAUAAUAAUUAUCCAAAUAUUCCCUUCAGAUUUUUAUCGUAAAUAUUAAAAAUCUGAAGGGGCAGUUGGUAGUUUUUGUUGCUGUUGUUGUUGUUGUUGUUGUUGAAAAUAGGUACAUACUAUUUGCUCUUUCGUCUCGUGCAAUUUUGCUUUGAAAAUAUUUCUGUUUAAAUCACAGUAAAGUUAAGUUGAUUUCCAAAAGGAAUGCUAUGCCUGUUCGAAAACGGCAAAUCUUAGAAACAGAUACUGUUUCUAAAACGAUCUACAACGUUUUGGGAAACACGUUAGCGCGUGGUAAAGAAAGAUUUGUGUUUCCGAACGAAGAAUCUUUAUCGUCUUCCUCUACAGCCAUCCGUAAUUAUUUCUACAGAAGGCGGUAUCAGAUCAACGUAUAAUACUGUUUUGUAUCUAGUGUGUAGAAUCGUUUGCUAUAGUUUUUGGUAGAAACUUGCUUCCUUUUCUUUUCUUUUCUUUUCUUUAUCUUCGCAACGUUACGUUAGUAAUCGCAUAUUAUGCGUACUAUCGAUUUUUUUUCACAUGCACACUUUCGCACUCACAUUCGUACACGUGCAAUUUCGUACGCGCAAAUAUUUUUCAUUCAAGGCUAUUUUUUUUUUUUUUUAACUCGAAUUAAAAUUAACUAAUCUGUUGGCUUUUGAUUGUUCAUCGUUAUGAAAUACAUAACAAUAGGUAAACUGGACAUCUCAUUGUACAUUAUUCAUCGAAAUAUAUCAAAUAGAUUCUUGUUGCAUUUUGAUAAAUUUUUCAAAGAAUAGUGUUGCGUUCAUAGAUAUCUUUGUUGCUCUUCUUCUUUCUAAGUGUUUAUAUUAAAUCUUAAGGCUUAAUCUAAUUUUCUGCCCAACUCCACGGGCACUUAUCUAUUUUGUUAAGGGCAACAGCCAUGUGACGAGAUUUCGAUUUUAACAUGGAAGAAUGUUUUUAUAAAUUUUAACGAAGGAAAGAAAAUAUGAUUAAGUAGUAAGAAGGUUUGUUCUGCCCGUUAGUACUGUUGCCCCCUUAACUAUGUAGGCCUGCCUUACACGAACCUCUUAUGGAUCUCCCUUCUUAUUAUUUUGACUUUUUAAGAAAAAUAGGAAAAUACAAAAAUAAGAGAAGUUUGUAUAGAAAAUGAUGGAUCUUUUUUUUGGUAACACUGUUACUUACGUUACUUACGAUAAACUUUCGAUAGACUAUCGACAACACUCAGAUAUUAAAUAACUUUAAGGUAUACCGUUAAGGUAUAAAAGAAAUCUUUUCUUCGCGGUUUAAUGGAUAACAAUGAAUAGACUUUAACUAAAUAUAUUAUCUGCGUGCAUCUGUCGUGCAUCGAAUGGAAGGUACGUAAUACGUACAGUUGAAUAACAUUUUCGGAGUUUAGGAACUGUAUUGUUCGUCGCGAUUCCAGCCGUAGAAAAUAGAAAAUAGAAAAGAG